UCCUGGUUUCCCAGGCAGUCCCGCCAGAGUGCUUUACCUAAAAAGGCAGUUGCAACUGACAGCAAGGGUUGCGCUCGUUAAAGGACUUAACCCAACAUCUCACGACACGAGCUGACGACAGCCAUGCAGCACCUGUGUAUAUGUCUAGACUAAAAGCCUAGAAAACUUUAUCUCUAAAGCGAUCAUAUACAUGUCAAAUCCAGGUAAGGUUCCUCGCGUAGUGUCGAAUUAAACCACAUGUUCCACCGCUUGUGCGGACCCCCGUCAAUUCCUUUGAGUUUUAGUCUUGCGACCGUAAUCCCCAGGCGAAUCACUUAACGCGUUAGCUACGACACUAAUCCGAAAAAUCAGACUAACAUCUAGUGAUCAUCGUUUACAGCGUGGACUAC
rnacentral:misc_RNA from 1 species